rnacentral:rRNA from 1 species
GCCAGCCCGCUCAGAAACUUAAAGGAAUUGACGGGGGCCCGCACAAGCGGUGGAGCAUGUGGUUUAAUUCGAUGAUACGCGAGGAACCUUACCUGGGCUCAAAUGUAUGUUGACGUAUUCUGAAAGGGAUACUUCUUCGGACAAUAUACAAGGUGCUGCAUGGUUGUCGUCAGCUCGUGCCGUGAGGUGUCGGGUUAAGUCCCAUAACGAGCGCAACCCUCAUCAUUAGUUACCAUCAGGUAAGGCUGGGGACUCUAAUGAGACUGCCAUCGUAAGAUGUGAGGAAGGUGGGGAUGACGUCAAAUCAGCACGGCCCUUACGUCCGGGGCGACACACGUGUUACAAUGGGUGGUACAAAGGGCAGCUACCUGGCGACAGGAUGCUAAUCUCCAAAACCACUCUCAGUUCGGAUCGGAGUCUGCAACUCGACCCCGUGAAGCUGGAUUCGCUAGUAAUCGCGCAUCAGCCACGGCGCGGUGAAUACGUUCCCGGGCCUU